UACGUAGGCAGCGAGCGUUGUCCGGAGUUACUGGGCGUAAAGGGCAUGCAGGCGGUCGGACGCGUUUCGGGUGACAGCGGGUGGCUUAACUACCCGAGUGGUCGAAAGACGGUUUGACUUGAGGACGCGAGAGGGACACGGAAUUCCGGGUGGAGUGGUGGAAUGCGUAGAGAUCCGGAGGAACACCGAAGGCGAAGGCAGUGUCCUGGCCUAUAACUGACGCUGAGGUGCGAAAGCGUGGGGAGCAAACGGG
rnacentral:rRNA from 1 species